AACGAACGCUGGCGGCAGGCUUAACACAUGCAAGUCGAACGCCCCGCAAGGGGAGUGGCAGACGGGUGAGUAACGCGUGGGAACAUACCCUUUCCUGCGGAAUAGCUCCGGGAAACUGGAAUUAAUACCGCAUACGCCCUACGGGGGAAAGAUUUAUCGGGGAAGGAUUGGCCCGCGUUGGAUUAGCUAGUUGGUGGGGUAAAGGCCUACCAAGGCGACGAUCCAUAGCUGGUCUGAGAGGAUGAUCAGCCACAUUGGGACUGAGACACGGCCCAAACUCCUACGGGAGGCAGCAGUGGGGAAUAUUGGACAAUGGGCGCAAGCCUGAUCCAGCCAUGCCGCGUGAGUGAUGAAGGCCUUAGGGUUGUAAAGCUCUUUCACCGAUGAAGAUAAUGACGGUAGUCGGAGAAGAAGCCCCGGCUAACUUCGUGCCAGCCGCCGCAGUAA
rnacentral:rRNA from 1 species